AUUGAACGCUGGCGGCAGGCUUAACACAUGCAAGUCGAGCGAGCGGCGGACGGGUGAGUAAUGUCUGGGAAACUGCCUGAUGGAGGGGGAUAACUACUGGAAACGGUAGCUAAUACCGCAUACCAUAGGAUGAGCCCAAGUGGGUUUAGGUAGUUGGUGAGGUAAAGGCUCACCAAGCCGACGAUCUCUAGCUGGUCUGAGAGGAUGACCAGCCACACGGGGACUGAGACACGGCCCAGACUCCUACGGUAGGCAGCAGUGGGGAAUAUUGCGCAAGGGGGGCAACCCUGACGCAGCCAUGCCGCGUGUAUGAAGAAGGCCUUCGGGUUGUAAAGUACUUUCAGUCGGGAGGCGUUACCGACAGAAGAAGCACCGGCUAACUCCGUGCCAGCCGCCGCGGUAAUAC
rnacentral:rRNA from 1 species